UGGUGGCUGACAGCGGCCAAUGGUGUCUGACUUUGUUGGGAAGUGCAGUCGGCGGGUUUGAAGAUGGCGGCGGCGUUGGUGAUGCUUAUGUCGAGGAGUCGCUCAGUCUCACUGGGUCGAUUGAGGGUGACAGAUCUGUGUGCAGCUGCACGGCCUUUCUCCGGCCUCAGGGUUCACUGCCCCACGUUUCAGUUGUCCGAUACCCAGCGGCGGCAUGGCCCCGGAGGGCCCUGGCUUAUCGAUAGUUGCAAAAGCCCACAGAUUUACUUUGCACUCGGUCAACCUAUUCGCCACUUUUGCUCAGAUGGCAACAACUUGGAAGGACGGUUGAUUUACAGUGGAAACUUGGCCAGAGUAGUACUUGGGGUGAAAUUCUUCUCCUACUCCACCAGCGUUUUCAGUUUGUGUAUGAUGCCUUAUGUUCUCCUCCAUUCUGGUCUGGCAGUUCAGAGUCCUGCAUUACAAAUGGCUUUCUGCGGCAUAAUGGGAUUCUUUACUUUUUUAAGUCCGAUGGUAUUACACCUCCUCACCAAAGGUUAUGUGGUCCACCUAUAUCACGAUGCAAAAACUGACACUUACACAGCUGUCACUUACAGUGUUUUCCUCCAGCAGAAGAAAACUGUUUUCCAUCAAAAGGACGUGAAAGUUCCAGGAGUCAGCAAAAUGUUCACCACGUUUUAUGCAAACAAAAUGUCAUUGCUAGUAAAUCCAGUUCUUUUCUGGCAUCCAAAUGACUACAGUCACCUAAUGGGUUACGAUCAGCCCUUCUCUUUUAAUUUGGAUGAACUAAAAAAGUAAUGAUGAAAAGGAAAUUAACUUUGGCAAGGCGAUAUCACUUUUACAACUGUUUCCUCCAUCAUUGUAGUUGACAGUGAGCUACGUGCAAGUUUUAAUUUUAUACGCUUAGAUUGAAUAUGAACGCUGUGUUUAAAACAAGGAAAACGUGCUGCAGAUACUGGAAAUUGAAGUAAAAACAGAACAUUUUGUGUUCAUUCAGUAGAUCAGGCAGCAUCUAUUCUUUAUAAAUGUUAAAUUGACAUUUCAAGUUUAUGUCUCUUCAUCUAGAUCCUUGCUGAGGACAGAUCUGGUGUCUGAGCUGUUGUGUACAUCAUGAUUUGAUUCUGGUUUUAUUUCUGUUGUGUACUAUUACAGUAUGCAUCACUUACAAUAGUUCUAGGUUUUGUUUCUUGUAUAACCUCCACACAUUUUACCCUGUCUAAUAAGAAGUUUGUGGUUAUUGAGAACUGACUUGUGCUUUCUGUUUAAUUUUCAUGUUCUCCUGUUAAACAGGAAAUAGCUGUGAUCGAGAGGAUAAUUAUCGAAAUUGCCCCCUGGCCUCUACCAUUAUUGCUUUGAACUAAUUGCUGGAGAGUCGUGGAGCUGUUUUGUUUUAAAGAAAAAGUUUCUCCCUAAUGCGCAGAUUAUUUGGCUGAGUAGAGUGCAGAAUUAAAACAAAGCAUAGGUUGCUAGUGACUGAGAUUUAAGCAUCUGACUUUUAUUAAAAGUUUAUUAUUUGGUAGGAGCUGUCCCUUUCUGAUGAUGACCCUCGAUCUUCUAUCCCUUGCUUUUGUGAGGAAUGCCUGGUUGAUCACAGGAAGGUAAUGACAGAGGAUCAGGUCGUUUUUACUACUGCCAUGCUGCAUCACUUCAUCUUGGAGAAUUUUCCACAGGUCUCGCUGCAAUUGAACAUGGACAACUUCAGUAUCUGAGGAGUCACGAUUGAUGCUGAACAUUGUGCAAUCAUCAGAAAGCAUUUCCGCUUCUGAACUUGGAGGGAAGGUCAUUGAUGAAGCAGCUGAAGAUAGUUGGGCCUUGGAGACUAUGCUGAGGAACUCCUGCUAAGAUGAGGAUUUCAUCCCCCUUCCUAUCUGUGACAUUGAUACCAAGGUGGACCACUACUGUUUGCUAGUUCCCCUCCUCCUGAAGGAUGUCCUGCAGUCGCUCCAUAACAUUAUUGACCUUGCACCAAGGAAGCAACAAGACACGCUGGAGUCAUGUUUACUGCCACAGAAAUACCUUUGUGAUCCACUGACUGUGGAACCUUCUAUCACUAUUGCCCUUUCAUUCUUCGUUUGCUUUCCCUGUAUAGCUGAGACACUCUUGGUACUAUAAAUUUCAGAGGUUAGAAAUCCUGCACCAAGUAACUUACCACCUGAUUCCCCAAAGCCUGAUCACCACAUACAAGGCACAGCUCAGGUGUGUGAUGGAAUACUCCCCACUUGCCUGGAUAAUUACAGCUUUAACAAUACUCAAGAGACUUGACACCAUCCAGGACAAAGCAGCCUGUUUGAUUGACACCAAAUCCACAAGCAUCCACUCCGUCCACGACCUCAGCAGUGUAUACCAGCUACAUGACGCAUUGCUGAAAUUCACCAAAGAUCCUUAGCAGUUUCCAAACCCACGACCACUUCCGUUGAGAAGGACAAGGGCAAUAGUCACAUGGGAACACCACCACGUACAAGUUCACCUCCAAGCCACUCACCACCCUGAUUUGGAAAUAUAUCACAGUUCCUUCACUGUCACUGGGUCAAAAUACUGGAAUUCCUUCCCUAAGGUCACUAUGGAUCAACCCAUAGCAUAUAGACUGCAGUGGUUCAAGGCAGCUUGCCACCACCUUCUCAAGGGCAACUAGCAAUGGACAAGAAAUGCUGACCCAGCCAGCAACGCCCAUAUCCAAUUAGCGGAGAAAAAUAAUCGAAACAAUACCAGACCAGUUAAAAAAGACAAACCCAGUCAGAAGUGCGGGAAUGCUUAUUAGGAAUUAUUUUGCAACCACCACAGUGGUCUGGAAUGCUACUUAAAACAGAAACAAACCUGUUGUGUUUGGUCUCUAUGGUCAGAAGAUGUUGAAUGGGAGAUCAAGGUGGAUCCCAGAAGUGAACCAUGAUCAACAUAGUUUGAAGCAUGAGUAUUGACACAUGGAUUGCUUUGAACUACUGGCCACAAUGCUACCAACGUAGACCAGCUAGUUUGGAAAGUAAUAGAAGACAAUGCACUACAGAACCUGACAGAUGAACAGUACCACCCUGACCAGACUGUCACAGAGGUCCACAGCACCGAUAAAGGCCCUUCAGCCUAUUAAGUCUGUGUGGGUCAUAAACAAGCACUUAGCUAUUCUAAUCCCAUUUUGUGGAAUGGAACUGGAACCAGGUCUGGUGAAUGGAUUAGUGUUAGUAAGGAAAAAACAGGAAGGCUUUAUGUCAUAAUGUAGCCCGAGCUGGUACCUGUAAUAUUGAUCAUAUCUGAGGGGGAAAAUUGGAAAACUCCAAACAGAAAGACCGUAAAGGCAGAGAUAACAAGAGGUUGACUACCCAUUGUACCACUCACCAGGAAGUCAUCUCCUGCAGUCAUGUUUGUAUUUUACCAUUCCAGGGAUGUACAGAAAAAGCAGGGUUAAAAGUUGACUGCACCCCUGGUCUGUAUGUAUUAGCGGCCUAAUAUGCUAGUGUGUGAUUAGUAUGCUGUGACGGUUGCAACCUGGGUAUACCCAUUAUACACCCCUGUACUACAGGUAACAAAGGUAAAGAUAGUUUCUCUUUGGUCACUGGCCCUGGUAUCUCCUCACAUGGCUCCAUGUGACACUUUGGUUUGGGAACACUGGUGAGAUGUGAUUAGCUGCUUGCUGGUAUCCCCUACUGUCCUAGCAGGCAAUCCCCAAGGUGUACUCAGUGAGAAAAGUAGGGCAUGGCUGUUGAAGUUUAGUGGUGUUAUAGUACAAAAUGAAAUGAGAAGGUGCUGGAGGAACUCAGCAGGGCUGGCAGCAUCUGUGGAUUGAGAAACAGAGUUAACCCAUCAAUGCCAGCCAUCCACCAUUGAAAAAGAACCAGGGCAAAAGAAUUUAAAUCAACCUGCACAGCCAAGAAUAUCUAAAUUGACUGCUGAACCACCAACAUCAAUGCCGCUGGUACAAUCUAAUGUAAUGGCUGCAACAUCCUAAUAUCUACCCUUCAUUAAUGGCUGAGAGACUGAUAAUAUAUUGUAAAAACAUUUAUCUUUUUUAACUCACUACUAAUUCCUAAUACCUGUGUGUGUUGUUAUUCAUUUAUCAUGUUUAGUAACUAAUAAAUUCACUUUUAUUAACUCAAGGAAACCUGGUUAAAUGGCUCAGUUUGAAAAAUAAAUUCAAUUGAUUUUGGAGUAAUUAUCCUCAAGGAAAGAGAUCCUUUUCAAAUUAACCUUGUGGUGAGCGAGUAGAUGAAUAAAGAAGUACAGUCCCUUCAUCCCUCCUUAUCUGGGAACUGACAAUUUGGGGUAUCCUGUCUGGGAUUGUAACAAAUUGGGAAGCCUUGACCCACGGAUUGGUCAUGACACAGUUAAGAAUCAACCAUCUUGCUGAGGGUAUGGAGUCACAUAUAGAGCCCAGCAAAUAAUAGUGGCAGAUUUUCAUUCCUCAAGGACAAUAGUGAACCAAAAGAGUUUUUUUUGGACCAUGGUUUCAUGGUCAUCACUUGUGAGACGAGUUUUUAUUUCUCAAUUUACUAAAUUCUAUCCAGCUGUCAUGCUGGAAUUUGAAACUAUGUAUACAGACCAUUAGCGUAGAACUCUGAAUUACUUGUACCCGACUAUUCCCAGGCCCCUACCACAUCCGUGAGAAUGUAAUUGGGAUUUGCUUAAAGGGUAUAGGGUUAGGAUUCAUGUGAAGGUUUCUGAAAAGGGAAAAAAUCGGUUAAAAUGAAAGUUUAAUAAAUCUUAGUAUAGCAUUUGGAGCAAGUAACAUAGCUGAGGAAAAAUAGUUGAAUUCAUCCAGCAUUUGAAGGUUGCAUAAAGUCAGACAUUGGCAGAACAAACAGGAUACAAACAGUGGAGAAAGGGUUAGAACAUAUGGUCAUGCCCUAGAGUUAGGCCCAGAACAAAUGGCACCUUUGCCAUGAGAAAGAAGGUAGAUGUGCCAUCCUAAGAUAUUAAGUCAUUCUACUGGGGCAAUAAACAGAUUGGAAGGGCUCCUGUAGCGCAAUGGUACUGCCCCUCUCCUUGGACCAGGAGGCCUAGGGCAGCAUGGUGGCUCAGUGGUUAGCGCUGCUGCCUCACAGCGCCAGGGACCUGGGUUCCAUUCUAGCCUCAGGUGAUGUCUGUGUGGAGUUUGCAUGUUCUCCCUGUGUCUGCGUGGUUUUCCUCCCACAGUUCAAAGAUGUGCAGAUUAGGUGGAUUAGCCAUGCUAAAUUGCUCUAAAUAGUGUUCAGGGAUGUGAGGCUAGGUGGAUUAGCGAUGGGAAAGUGCAGGGUUGCAGGGAUAGAGUAGGGGUGUGGGUGGGAUGCUCCUCAGAGGGGUUGUGUGGACUCGAUGGGCCGAAUGGCCUGCUUCCAUACUGUAGGGAUUCUAUGAUAAGUCCCACCUGCUGCAGAGGUGUGUGAUAAAUUCUCUGAACAGGUUGAUUGGAAAAUUUAAAAAAAAUGCAUUAGGCUAUUAUAAGUAAAGAUUAUGUUCCCAUUAAAACAAAAUUAAAGGUGUAGCAGUUGGCAGUCAAUUUACUUUGCCCCAUCCCCUGACCUGCUUCCUGUAUACAUGUCCUAAUGUUAAUUUUAUUAUUCAAAUAUCAUAGAUAGAAUUUAACCAUGAUUGGAUGAAAUGGGAUCACAUGUAUUAUAGGUGAUUUGUACAUUCAAGUAAUGUAACACCCAUGUGAAAAGAGAAUAAAAUCAAAGUUUUGUAA